AGUGAACGCUGGCGGUAGGCCUAACACAUGCAAGUCGAACGGCAGCACAGGAGAGCUUGCUCUCUGGGUGGCGAGUGGCGGACGGGUGAGGAAUACAUCGGAAUCUACUCUGUCGUGGGGGAUAACGUAGGGAAACUUACGCUAAUACCGCAUACGACCUACGGGUGAAAGCAGGGGAUCUUCGGACCUUGCGCGAUUGAAUGAGCCGAUGUCGGAUUAGCUAGUUGGCGGGGUAAAGGCCCACCAAGGCGACGAUCCGUAGCUGGUCUGAGAGGAUGAUCAGCCACACUGGAACUGAGACGCGGUCCAGACUCCUACGGGAGGCAGCAGUGGGGAAUAUUGGGCAAUGGGAGCAAGCCUGAUCCAGCCACACCGCGUGGGUGAAGAAGGCCUUCGGGUUGUAAAGCCCUUUUGUUGGGAAAGAAAUCCAGCUGGCUAAUACCCGGUUGGGAUGACGGUACCCAAAGAAUAAGCACCGGCUAACUUCGUGCCAGCCGCCGCAGUAA
rnacentral:rRNA from 1 species